GAAAAUUUAGUUAAAAAUAUAACAUUAGCUUGUCAAGCUAGAAUUAUUGAAAAAUAAUUUUCU
rnacentral:tRNA from 1 species